rnacentral:sRNA from 1 species
CUGAGUGCGGUGGUGCUCAGAACUAACCAGUCGUGACCAGUUUCAGAUUUCUUUGUUUCUUCUCUAUUUCCAUCGCUUCAUUUG